AGAACAAUGCCUUUAAUGCCCACUGCACCAGUCUCAAAGAAGCUUUCAGAAAUGGCUGAACCCAAGAACUAUUUGCCACAGUGAAGCAGAUGAAAACUUCCUUUUCAGCCUGUCAGUCAGUCAUCAAAGAUUGCAAUGGCAAUGAGCUGAAGGACCAACAAGACAUAAAGGAGAGAUAGCAAAAAUACACUGAAAACUUGUAUACCUCCGUUGAUGACCCACAGAACAAAGAUCAGACAGACAGGGCAUCGGGAGCCAGAUCUUCUGGAGAGUGAAGUGGAGUGGGCAAUGAGACAGCUACCAAGCAACACGGCACCAAACAUCAACGAGAUCCCUACUGAACUGCAGAUCAAUUCCUGGCGCUGCCUUGACGAUCCUUUGCCAGCAGAUUUGGAAAUCCUGCACGUAGCCUGCUGACUAGAGGCAGUCAGUUUUCAUUCCCAUAUCAAAAAAGGGAGGUACAAAGAACUGCACCAACUAUCGAACCAUUGCC
rnacentral:lncRNA from 1 species